UUGACACAAACAUAGAGACACUCUUCUCUUCUUCACCACCUGAAACUGAAAGAGAGACAACAAAAAACAAAAAAAAAAAGAGAGAGAGGGUUUGUUCUAGUGUCGACGGAGAGCAAAUAUGCCCUAAUUCAGAGCCACGCCGAUUCGAUUAUCUCAUCGCUCCCAGAUUCCUCUCCGAUCUCCAUUAGCAUCGAGUCCGGUGAUGAUGAAUCCGUUCAGGAUCGUCUCGUCGACUCCUACUCUCGAACUGGCCUCUUCUCUUCUCCUCGAUUCCACUAAACGAUGGUUCCGGACACGAGCUUCUUUCUGUUCACAAUUGACUAGGGUCAACAGACAAAUCAGAGGUGUAUGUGUGUCGAAGGUAGAUGGAAUUUUGGGUGGUGAUUAACUCGCUUCUCGGUUAUAUUUGAGAGGCUUCCUUCAACAUUGGCAAAUUUCCUGAAGGUGUAGCUAACUCUCAACCUCCUAAACAGAUUUCAGAACUUCCGGAUGAAAGUUCUGAUGCGUAUCUAGAUGGCUCUGUUAUGGAGAAGGUGCUUCAUAGGCGAAGUAUGCAGAUGCGCAAUUUGCAGAGAGCUUGGCAGUGAGAUUUAUGGAAAGUGGUUGUCAGAUUUGGUGACAAGCGACCACAACGGGAGGUAAUACGCUAUAGUUUCCUUAUUCAGAUGUGGAGUUAUUGAAUAUGCAGCUUCUGGCGUUGUGGAUCAUCCUAAAACCAGUUGGAGAUUUCACAUGUCCUCCAAAAGGUGAAACGUUCUGUCUAUAAUAAAAUCUGCUUAAAGUUUUUUUGUUGCUUCUCUAGAUGGUUCACUUUCUUCACAGAAUCGGGGAUGAUGUACUAUAUGACGCAGCAACAACCACGAUGGAAUGGAAAUUUAGUAUCCUUUUCUUUACUGUCUUUUUUUUACCCGUGUGAAGUUAAUCCUUAUUCAGAUGUGGAGGUUAUUGUGUAUGCAGCUUCUAGAAUGUUAUCAUAGAACACCAUGAACACCAUGGAGACCACACUUAUCAAAGGCACCUCUUCUCCAGAGUCUACAAAUCAAGAAUUGCAUUCCAGCAGAGUCUAUGAAUAUGUAUCUGAGUUUUUACAACCUAACCAGCCUCAGCCUCGUGAAUUUGAAGUUACUCGCUUGCCGUUUUGAUCCAUCAAACUUGCAGUUGCGGAACUCUACAGAAUGCGCAACUGCAAGCUUUGAUGCAUCAAACCCGCAAGCGAGUAACUUCAAAUUCACGAGGCUGGUCAGGCUGUAAAAACUCAGAUACAUAUUCAGUACCAGUCGUGUAUAAAGUAUCAAUCAUACGUGUUACUAUCUAUGUUUUUGUUGAUGAGAUCCAUGAAAGGGGCAGAAACGGAGGUAGUGUAUUGAGUGGUGGUGGGAGUGCUCCACUUCCUGAGGCGACCGCUCAGAAUUGGGUUGAUAUGAUAAAUGAGUAUUAGAUGUUGGCAGGGAUCAUGCUCUGGUUAAGAGGAUUGGAGCAGCUACUGCAGUCGACGUCAGAGCCACUGGAAUUCCAUAAAGUUUGUAGAGAUCCCAGAUAGAGGUAGGUGUUAUGAGAGGAUCACAAAGUUGUGGAAGACAUGACAUAUGUAUCUUGUUUUACAAGGAGAGCCUCCUUCCAAAGAUAAGCAUGGCGUUCCGUUUCUUGGUGGCAGCAUGUGCCAAGCAUUAUGUGGGAGAUGGUGGGACAACCCGAGGAAUAAAUGAGAAUUACACGGUAACUGAUUUACAUGGUCUUCUUAGCGUUUACAUGCCGGCUUAUGGUGAUGCAAUUUACAAAGGUGUUACCAGAGUGAUGGUUUCAUAGUCAAGCUGGAAUGGUGAGAAGAUGCAUGCAAAUACUGAGCUUAUCACAAGGGUUCUGUUACUUCGGAUUGGCAAGGUGUUGAUAUGAUUUCCUCACCACCGCAUACAAACUACACAGCUUCUGUCCGAGCUGCAGUUCAAGCUGGAAUUUAUAUGGUCAUGGUCCCCUUCAACUUUACUGAGUUUGCCAAUGAUCUUACGUCCUUGGUGAAAAACAAUAAGUAAAUCCUGUCACCCGGAUUGAUGAUGCUGUCAGAAGAAUCCUGCUUGUCAAGUUCACUGAUGCUCUUUUUGGGACUUUAGUGGAAAACUUCUGUUACAUGGUUUAGAAACACAGAGCAGUUGCCUAUGAGCUAUGGAGAUUCACAUUAUGGCCCACUCUUUGUUUACGGGUCUGGUCUUGAAACCGAAUCUGUUGCGAGCAUUGUUGCUAGGUCAACCGCAGCUUCUGCUACUAGCACAAAGCCUUGCUUGAACAGAGUCCUUGUAUCUGCUACAAUUUGUCUACUUCUCUUCCCAAGCUUAAGCCGUGUUCUGAGAAGAUGAAAGCUACAAAAGCUUGGGAGUAGAUAAUUCAUUCGCUUAUCUGAUCCUGAAUCCUGUGUCAUUGCAACCUGGAUCAUCUUGAAUAUUUGAACGCUCUUCUAUUUACAUGCUACAGAGAGUAUGAGUAUAGACUGUUCUCUUUUUUUCAAUCCAUCAUGCUUGAAAAUAAAUUAAAUUAACGUUGUGGGCAAGAAUGGUAAACAAAAGAGAAGAAAGCAAGAGAACAACAUUAUGCUUUC